rnacentral:piRNA from 1 species
UUUUUCACACUAUUGGUCACGUUUU